GUAGGGAAUAUUGGGCAAUGGGGGAAACCCUGACCCAGCAACGCCGCGUGAGGGAAGAAGGCCUAACGGUUGUAAACCUCUGUCAUAUGGGAAGAAGGAAUGACAGUACCAUAUGAGGAAGCUCCGGCUAACUACGUGCCAGCAGCCGCGGUAAUACGUAGGGAGCAAGCGUUGUCCGGAAUUACUGGGCGUAAAGGGUGCGUAGGCGGCAUGUUAAGUUAGAUGUCAAAUACCCGGGCUUAACCCGGGGACGCAUCUAAAACUGGCGUGCUUGAGUGCAGGAGAGGAAAGCGGAAUUCCUAGUGUAGCGGUGGAAUGCGUAGAUAUUAGGAGGAACACCAGUGGCGAAGGCGGCUUUCUGGACGAUGUCUGACGCUGAGGCGCGAAAGCUAGGGGAGCGAACGGGAUUAGAUACCCUAGUAGUCC
rnacentral:rRNA from 1 species